rnacentral:lncRNA from 1 species
CAACUCUCAAUGCUCCCUCAAAUCCCCAGCACGCAGCUCUGGACUGCUGCCAAGGGCUGCAGAGAAGACACAUUAUUUUGUCUUCAUGGUUGUUCUAGCAGAAUGUGCACUGUCUGAUGGAAAGUGGAACACGAUCAUGUUGCUUUCCAGUGAAAGGUUGAAUUACAAUUCAAGAAGACAAUAUCCCUGUAAGAUCAGGAUCAAUUUGAAAAUCCUGCUUGCGAGAUGGCAUUUUUUCUUCAUCAUUUUUGUGUGCCCGACUAGCUGUAUAGAAAACACCAUACACAGGACAGUAAUGGACUGAAGCAGAUUAUUCAAUUAUUCUGUGGAAGAACUUAAAAGAUACUGACAAUUCAUCUACUGACUAGAAGGAAGAGAUAGAAAGUGAAGGGAGACUUUCUGAACAUGGCAGAAUUCACCCAUAAGCCAGAAAGGACUGCCUUGAGAUAAUAACAAAAGGUAAGAGGCGUAAAGUGACAGGCAGAGCUGUGAUAACUGCAGCUUUCCUCUCACCUCUGACAUUGUAGAUGUCUCCCUCAGACGUAGGCAGACUCUCUUCCCCAUACAGAGGAGGCAGAGGGUGGAGCUCAGCGCCUGUAU